GCCUACGGGAGGCAGCAGUGGGGGAUAUUGCACAAUGGGGGAAACCCUGAUGCAGCGACGCCGCGUAGGUGAAGAAGCGCCUCGGCGCGUAAAGCCCUGUCCGCAGGGAAGAAAAUGACGGUACCUGAAGAAGAAGCCCCGGCUAACUACGUGCCAGCAGCCGCGGUAAUACGUAGGGGGCAAGCGUUAUCCGGAUUUACUGGGUGUAAAGGGAGCGUAGACGGCAGCGCAAGUCUGGAGUGAAAUGCCGGGGCCCAACCCCGGAACUGCUUUGGAAACUGUGCAGCUCGAGUGCAGGAGAGGUA
rnacentral:rRNA from 1 species